rnacentral:lncRNA from 1 species
ACCACCACUCUCUCUCUCAAAACCUCUCCCACUGCCAGCUCCCUCCGAUCUCCCUCCCCAUUGCUGAUCUGCCAGCAACUACGGCAACAACACUGCCUCCCUCUGUUUGCCCCUCUGGUGAAACCAACCGCCGCCGUUAACGCCCAACACUGGCGUUGUUCCCCCUCACCUCCUCCUUCUCCCCAUUCACCAUCCCUCCGGCGCCUCCAGCCGCCUCAAAUCCAUCUUGAACCACCGAAGAAGACAACUACGCCAGUGCUACCGCUCCCUCCUCCGGUGCCAUCCUCUCCAACGAAACCAGUGAACCAGCGCCGUCCUCCACCGCCGAAAUAGCCACCCAGAGGCUUCACCAGUCCGCCACUGCUUCGAGCCAGCAACCUGCACCACCACAACGAUACCAACAGCCAUCGCUUCGCCAAAAAAUGAUGGGUUAUCAAGAACCCAUCCUAGGUUUGAUUCCAUAUUUUAUUUUUUUCUCUUCUAACAUGACAGAUUUAUGUGAUUAGAAGUUAAUUUGAUUAAGCAUGUUGAUAAAAUAUUGUGUGCUUUAGUUUGAUUAAUUAUCUGUGUUGUUAUACAUGAGGAUUCUCUAAUUUUAUUAUAUUAUUGGGGAUUUCUUUGUGUUUUUUUUAAUUGUUAUAUGUGGGUAUGUUUUGACGUAGUUCGUAUCGAAAAAUUAAACUAGUAAGGUAUUUGAUUGUGUCUGCUCCUUACCGAUAGUACUGAAUUGAUUCAGUAUAUCAUGGGAAUUGAUUUAAUUCAAUUAUUGUAUCUAUACUUUGUGAUUUGGAAAUUAAUUUAAACAUAUAUGGUAAGUAAUAUGUGUUUAUUAUUCACUUUUAAACUAGUACCUCUCUUACUUAUCUAUUUAUGUUAAAUUAACUCUGAAUUGAUUCUGUUUAAUUUUGGAGAAUCCAGUAGUAUUUCGCAUAGGUUCUUACUUUUGGCAUGAUUUCGGCAAUCACUUGAUUUACCAAUUGAUUUACUUUAUUUAUUUAAGGCGGGCAAUUCCCUAAUUGAUUGGGAGAUUGAUUCUUUUCCUUUUAACGUCUGUACCCUUUCACUAUGUAAAGAAUCUCUUUUCUCAAUUAAAGGAGGACUCUUAAGCUACAAUUACAAUGACUACUACUACUCCCUUAAACAAAUAUCAGUUACUUUUAAUAUCAAACAAUUGGACACUUUGAAGGGUUUUUUAUUUUCCUUCGAGGCUUACGGAAAGCAUUUCGCAUAUUUCACCAUUACGUGUGCUUGAUUUUUUUUCUUAUUCUCUUUUACUGUUGUUCACUGGUACGUUCUCGAGUCGAUGCAAUUAUUUUAUUCUCUCUGCGUGUGUUGACUGGAUAAUAUUGUUGAAACCUUUAGGAACAUAUCUAUAGGAAUAUUUUGAUGUUUGUUCUUGUUUGUUUGCUAUUAUGUCUUGUUUCACAGGUUUAAGUAGACACUUACGAAGUUCCGAAGAGUCGCCAAAAUGUUGAACUAACUAUGUACUCUUUAUAGCUAGUCGGUUUUCUUUUUCUUAUUAUUUGGUUUGUAAUAUUAUUUGUAAAAAAUAUUAUUCAUUAUUUACGUGCUCUAUGAACGGUGUAGUAGGCACAAGUAAGAUUUUGCGUGUAUUACGUGCUACUUGAAUCACCUAGGCAUAAAAAAUUUAGGAUUUAUUAUCAUAUGCAAUG